UACGGGAGGCAGCAGUGGGGAAUAUUGCACAAUGGGCGAAAGCCUGAUGCAGCUAUGCCGCGUGUAUGAAGAAGGCCUUAGGGUUGUAAAGUACUUUCAUCGGGGAGGAAAAAACAAAACUAAUAAUUUUAUUUCUUGACGUUACCCGAAAAAGAAGCACCGGCUAACUCCGUGCCAGCAGCCGCGGUAAUACGGAGGGUGCUAGCGUUAAUCAGAAUUACUGGGCGUAAAGAGCACGUAGGUGGUUUUUUUAAGUCAGAUGUGAAAUCCCCUGGGCUUAACCUAGGAACUGCAUUUUGAAACUGAAAUACUAGAGUAUCGUAGAGGGAGGUAGAAUUCUAGGUGUAGCGGUGAAAUGCGUAGAUAUCUGGAGGAAUACCUGUGGCGAAAGCGGCCUCCUAAACGAAUACUGACACUGAGGUGCGAAAGCGUGGGGAGCAAACAGGGAUUAGAUAC
rnacentral:rRNA from 1 species